GGAUCAUUAAAGAGUUUAAUAAAACUCCUAAACCCCUGUGAACUCACUAUGUUGGAUUCUCGCCAGAGAUAGUCUGGUUUCUGCUUCGCGGAUCGCCUGCCCGUGACACCUGUCACAGGUAGGUAUGCUUCUGCCGCGGGUCCGCAGGUAAAUCGUCUGUUUCACAAGGGACGGCGAUUUUACCUGUGGAAGAGGUCCGCUAACUAUAUUCUUAUUAUAGUUUGUUCACUAGAUCAAACAUUCUGAAUAAAAACUUAAACUAGUUAAAACUUUCAACAACGGAUCUCUUGGUUCUGGCAUCGAUGAAGAACGCAGCGAAAUGCGAUAAGUAAUGUGAAUUGCAGAAUUCAGUGAAUCAUCGAAUCUUUGAACGCACAUUGCGCCCAUUAGUAUUCUAGUGGGCAUGCCUGUUCGAGCGUCAUUUCAACCCUUAAGCCCCUGUUGCUUAGCGUUGGGAGCCUACAGCCUGCUGUAGCUCCUUAAAGGUAGUGGCGGAGUCGGUUCACACUCUAGACGUAGUAAAAUCUUUAUCUCGCCUAUAGAUGAGCCGGCGCCUUGCCGUAAAACCCCUAAUCUUUCACAAGGUUGACCUCGGAUCAGGUAGGAAUACCCGCUGAACUUAAGCAUAUCAAUAAGCGGAGGAAAAGAAACCAACAGGGAUUGCCCUAGUAACGGCGAGUGAAGCGGCAACAGCUCAAAUUUGAAAUCUGGCCUUCGGGUCCGAGUUGUAAUUUGCAGAGGAUGCUUUGGGCGCGGUGCCUUCCGAGUUCCCUGGAACGGGACGCCUUAGAGGGUGAGAGCCCCGUACGGUUGGACACCAAGCCUCUGUAAAGCUCCUUCGACGAGUCGAGUAGUUUGGGAAUGCUGCUCUAAAUGGGAGGUAAAUUUCUUCUAAAGCUAAAUAUUGGCCAGAGACCGAUAGCGCACAAGUAGAGUGAUCGAAAGAUGAAAAGCACUUUGAAAAGAGGGUUAAAUAGCACGUGAAAUUGUUGAAAGGGAAGCGUUUGCGACCAGACCUUUUCCCAGCGGAUCAUCCGGUGUUCUCACCGGUGCACUUCGCUGGGUUGAGGCCAGCAUCGGUUUCCGCAGGGGGAUAAAAGCCUGGGGAACGUAGCUCCCUCGGGAGUGUUAUAGCCCCUCGCAUAAUACCCUUGCGGGGACCGAGGACCGCGCU
rnacentral:rRNA from 1 species